GGAAGCGUGGGCGAGUGGUUUAAGCCAUCCGACUUAGGAUCGGACAAACGCGCUGGCACGUGUUUCGCGGGUUCAACUCCCGCCGCUUCCGCCA
rnacentral:tRNA from 2 species